UGGGGAAUCUUCCGCAAUGGACGAAAGUCUGACGGAGCAACGCCGCGUGAGUGAAGAAGGUUUUCGGAUCGUAAAACUCUGUCUUUUGGGGCGAACGUGAGUAUGGUGAACAAUCAUAGUCAGUGACGGUACCAAAGGAGGAAGCCACGGCUAACUACGUGCCAGCAGCCGCGGUAAUACGUAGGUGGCAAGCGUUGUCCGGAAUUAUUGGGCGUAAAGAGCGCGUAGGCGGGAUAGUCAGUCUGUUGUAAAGUGCGGGGCUCAACCCCGUGAUGGCAAUGGAAACAGCUAUUCUUGAGUGCAGGAGAGGAAAGUGGAAUUCCCAGUGUAGCGGUGAAAUGCGUAGAUAUUGGGAGGAACACCAGUGGCGAAGGCGACUUUCUGGACUGUGUCUGACGCUGAGGCGCGAAAGCCAGGGGGAGCGAACGGGAUUAGAUACCCCGGUAGUCCUGGCCGUAAACGAUGGGUACUAGGUGUGGGAGGUAUCGACCCCUUUCCGUGCCGGAGUUAACGCAAUAAGUACCCCGCCUGGGGAGUACGGUCGCAAGACUGAAACUCAAAGGAAUUGACGGGGGUCAUAGCUGUUUCCUG
rnacentral:rRNA from 1 species